rnacentral:rRNA from 1 species
GACGAACGCUGGCGGCGUGCCUAAUACAUGCAAGUCGAGCGCAGGAAAUCGACGGAACCCUUCGGGGGGAAGUCGACGGAAUGAGCGGCGGACGGGUGAGUAACACGUAAAGAACCUGCCCUCAGGUCUGGGAUAACCACGAGAAAUCGGGGCUAAUACCGGAUGGGUCAUCGGACCGCAUGGUUCGAGGAUGAAAGGCGCUCCGGCGUCGCCUGGGGAUGGCUUUGCGGUGCAUUAGCUAGUUGGUGGGGUAAUGGCCCACCAAGGCGACGAUGCGUAGCCGACCGGAGAGGGUGAUCGGCCACACUGGGACUGAGACACGGCCCAGACUCCUAAGGGAGGCAGCAGUAGGGAAUCUUCCAACAUGGACGGAAGUCUGAUGGAGCAACGCCGCGUGAACGAUGAAGGCCUUCGGGUCGUAAGUUCUGUUGUAAGGGAAGAACAAGUGCCGCAGGCAAUGGCGGCACCUUGACGGUACCUUGCGAGAAAGCCACGGCUAACUACGUGCCAGCAGCCGCCGUAAAAC